GAUUAACGCUGGCGGCGUGCAUAACACAUGCAAGUCGAAUGAUGAAACUUAGUAGACUUCUUCGGAAAGACAUUAAGCGGAUUAGUGGCGAACGGGUGAGUAACGCGUGAGUAACCUGCCUUACACAAGGGGAUAGCCUUUGGAAACGAAGAAUAAUACCCUAUAAAACCAUAAAAGCACAUGCUAGAAUGGUCAAAGUGAUAGCGGUGUAAGAUGGACUUGCGUCUGAUUAGCUAGUUGGUGAGAUAAAAGCUCACCAAGGCAACGAUCAGUAGCCGGCUUGAGAGAGUGUACGGCCACAUUGGGACUGAGACACGGCCCAGACUCCUACGGGAGGCAGCAGUGGGGAAUUUUGCACAAUGGGGGAAACCCUGAUGCAGCGACGCCGCGUGAUUUAGAAGGCCUUCGGGUUGUAAAAAUCUUUUGUAUAGGAAGAAAAUGACAGUACUAUACGAAUAAGGUCCGGCUAAUUACGUG
rnacentral:rRNA from 1 species